rnacentral:rRNA from 1 species
GAUGAACGCUGGCGGCGUGCCUAAUACAUGCAAGUCGAGCGAACGGACGAGAAGCUUGCUUCUCUGAUGUUAGCGGCGGACGGGUGAGUAACACGUGGAUAACCUACCUAUAAGACUGGGAUAACUUCGGGAAACCGGAGCUAAUACCGGAUAAUAUUUUGAACCGCAUGGUUCAAAAGUGAAAGACGGUCUUGCUGUCACUUAUAGAUGGAUCCGCGCUGCAUUAGCUAGUUGGUAAGGUAACGGCUUACCAAGGCAACGAUGCAUAGCUGACCUGAGAGGGUGAGCGGCCACACUGGAACUGAGACACGGUCCAGACUACUACGGGAGGCAGCAGUAGGGAAUCUUCGGCAAUGGGCGAAAGCCUGACGGAGCAACGCCGCGUGAGUGAAGAAGGUCUUCGGGUCGUAAAACUCUUUUAUUGGGGAAGAACAAAUUUGUAAGUAACUAUGCACAUCUUGACGGUACCUAAUCAGAAAGCCACGGCUAACUACGUG